UACGUAGGUGGCGAGCGUUGUCCGGAAUUACUGGGUGUAAAGGGCGUGCAGGCGGGUCGGCAAGUCAGGUGUGAAAUACUCGGGCUCAACCCGGGGGGGUCAUCUGAAACUGCCGAUCUUGAGUGCUGGAGAGGAUAGUGGAAUUCCCAGUGUAGCGGUAAAAUGCGUAGAGAUUGGGAGGAACACCAGUGGCGAAGGCGGCUAUCUGGACAGCAACUGACGCUGAGGCGCGAAAGCGUGGGGAGCGAACAGGAUUAGAAACCCGUGUAGUCC
rnacentral:rRNA from 1 species